rnacentral:rRNA from 1 species
GAUUAAGUUAUUAAGGGCGCACGGUGGAUGCCUUGGCACUAGAAGCCGAUGAAGGACGUUACUAACGACGACAUGCUUUGGGGAGCUGUAAGUAAGCUUUGAUCCAGAGAUUUCCGAAUGGGGAAACCCAGCAUGAGGUAUGUCAUGUUAUCGAUAUGUGAAUACAUAGCAUAUCAGAAGGCACACCCGGAGAACUGAAACAUCUUAGUACCCGGAGGAAGAGAAAGAAAAUUCGAUUCCCUUAGUAGCGGCGAGCGAAACGGGAAGAGCCCAAACCAACAAGCUUGCUUGUUGGGGUUGUAGGACACUCUAUACGGAGUUACAAAGGACGACAUUAGACGAAUCAUCUGGAAAGAUGAAUCAAAGAAGGUAAUAAUCCUGUAGUCGAAAAUGUUGUCUCUCUUGAGUGGAUCCUGAGUACGACGGAGCACGUGAAAUUCCGUCGGAAUCUGGGAGGACCAUCUCCUAAGGCUAAAUACUCUCUAGUGACCGAUAGUGAACCAGUACCGUGAGGGAAAGGUGAAAAGCACCCCGGAAGGGGAGUGAAAUAGAACCUGAAACCGUGUGCUUACAAGUAGUCAGAGCCCGUUAAUGGGUGAUGGCGUGCCUUUUGUAGAAUGAACCGGCGAGUUACGAUUUGAUGCAAGGUUAAGCAGUAAAUGUGGAGCCGUAGCGAAAGCGAGUCUGAAUAGGGCGUUUAGUAUUUGGUCGUAGACCCGAAACCAGGUGAUCUACCCUUGGUCAGGUUGAAGUUCAGGUAACACUGAAUGGAGGACCGAACCGACUUACGUUGAAAAGUGAGCGGAUGAACUGAGGGUAGCGGAGAAAUUCCAAUCGAACCUGGAGAUAGCUGGUUCUCUCCGAAAUAGCUUUAGGGCUAGCCUCAAGUGAUGAUUAUUGGAGGUAGAGCACUGUUUGGACGAGGGGCCCCUCUCGGGUUACCGAAUUCAGACAAACUCCGAAUGCCAAUUAAUUUAACUUGGGAGUCAGAACAUGGGUGAUAAGGUCCGUGUUCGAAAGGGAAACAGCCCAGACCACCAGCUAAGGUCCCAAAAUAUAUGUUAAGUGGAAAAGGAUGUGGCGUUGCCCAGACAACUAGGAUGUUGGCUUAGAAGCAGCCAUCAUUUAAAGAGUGCGUAAUAGCUCACUAGUCGAGUGACACUGCGCCGAAAAUGUACCGGGGCUAAACAUAUUACCGAAGCUGUGGAUUGUCCUUUGGACAAUGGUAGGAGAGCGUUCUAAGGGCGUUGAAGCAUGAUCGUAAGGACAUGUGGAGCGCUUAGAAGUGAGAAUGCCGGUGUGAGUAGCGAAAGACGGGUGAGAAUCCCGUCCACCGAUUGACUAAGGUUUCCAGAGGAAGGCUCGUCCGCUCUGGGUUAGUCGGGUCCUAAGCUGAGGCCGACAGGCGUAGGCGAUGGAUAACAGGUUGAUAUUCCUGUACCACCUAUAAUCGUUUUAAUCGAUGGGGGGACGCAGUAGGAUAGGCGAAGCGUGCGAUUGGAUUGCACGUCUAAGCAGUAAGGCUGAGUAUUAGGCAAAUCCGGUACUCGUUAAGGCUGAGCUGUGAUGGGGAGAAGACAUUGUGUCUUCGAGUCGUUGAUUUCACACUGCCGAGAAAAGCCUCUAGAUAGAAAAUAGGUGCCCGUACCGCAAACCGACACAGGUAGUCAAGAUGAGAAUUCUAAGGUGAGCGAGCGAACUCUCGUUAAGGAACUCGGCAAAAUGACCCCGUAACUUCGGGAGAAGGGGUGCUCUUUAGGGUUAACGCCCAGAAGAGCCGCAGUGAAUAGGCCCAAGCGACUGUUUAUCAAAAACACAGGUCUCUGCUAAACCGUAAGGUGAUGUAUAGGGGCUGACGCCUGCCCGGUGCUGGAAGGUUAAGAGGAGUGGUUAGCUUCUGCGAAGCUACGAAUCGAAGCCCCAGUAAACGGCGGCCGUAACUAUAACGGUCCUAAGGUAGCGAAAUUCCUUGUCGGGUAAGUUCCGACCCGCACGAAAGGCGUAACGAUUUGGGCACUGUCUCAACGAGAGACUCGGUGAAAUCAUAGUACCUGUGAAGAUGCAGGUUACCCGCGACAGGACGGAAAGACCCCGUGGAGCUUUACUGUAGCCUGAUAUUGAAAUUCGGCACAGCUUGUACAGGAUAGGUAGGAGCCUUUGAAACGUGAGCGCUAGCUUACGUGGAGGCGCUGGUGGGAUACUACCCUAGCUGUGUUGGCUUUCUAACCCGCACCACUUAUCGUGGUGGGAGACAGUGUCAGGCGGGCAGUUUGACUGGGGCGGUCGCCUCCUAAAAGGUAACGGAGGCGCUCAAAGGUUCCCUCAGAAUGGUUGGAAAUCAUUCAUAGAGUGUAAAGGCAUAAGGGAGCUUGACUGCGAGACCUACAAGUCGAGCAGGGUCGAAAGACGGACUUAGUGAUCCGGUGGUUCCGCAUGGAAGGGCCAUCGCUCAACGGAUAAAAGCUACCCCGGGGAUAACAGGCUUAUCUCCCCCAAGAGUUCACAUCGACGGGGAGGUUUGGCACCUCGAUGUCGGCUCAUCGCAUCCUGGGGCUGUAGUCGGUCCCAAGGGUUGGGCUGUUCGCCCAUUAAAGCGGUACGCGAGCUGGGUUCAGAACGUCGUGAGACAGUUCGGUCCCUAUCCGUCGUGGGCGUAGGAAAUUUGAGAGGAGCUGUCCUUAGUACGAGAGGACCGGGAUGGACAUACCUCUGGUGUACCAGUUGUCGUGCCAACGGCAUAGCUGGGUAGCUAUGUGUGGACGGUAUAAGUGCUGAAAGCAUCUAAGCAUGAAGCCCCCCUCAAGAUGAGAUUUCCCAACUUCGGUUAUAAGAUCCCUCAAAGAUGAUGAGGUUAAUAGGUUCGAGGUGGAAGCAUGGUGACAUGUGGAGCUGACGAAUACUAAUCGAUCGAAGACUUAAUCAA